GAUGAACGCUAGCUACAGGCUUAACACAUGCAAGUCGAGGGGCAGCAUGUCGGUUGCUUGCAACCGAUGAUGGCGACCGGCGCACGGGUGAGUAACGCGUAUCCAACCUACCCUUGUCCAUCGGAUAACCCGUCGAAAGGCGGCCUAACACGAUAUGCGGUUCUCAGCAGGCAUCUAACGAGAACGAAAUGUGAAGGAGAAGGAUGGGGAUGCGUCUGAUUAGCUUGUUGGCGGGGUAACGGCCCACCAAGGCGACGAUCAGUAGGGGUUCUGAGAGGAAGGUCCCCCCACAUUGGAACUGAGACACGGUCCAAACUCCUACGGGAGGCAGCAGUGAGGAAUAUUGGGUCCAAUGGGGCGAGAGCCUGAACCAGCCAAGUAGCGUGCAGGAAGACGGCCCUAUGGGGUUGUAAACUGCUUUUAUAAGGGAAUAAAGUGAGAGUCGUGACUCUUUUUGCAUGUACCUUAUGAAUAAGGACCGGCUAAUUCCGUGCCAGCAGCC
rnacentral:rRNA from 1 species